rfam:Sorghum bicolor cultivar BTx623 chromosome 8, whole genome shotgun sequence.
AUUCCAUGAUGGGGACAUUCUAGGAUGUAGUCUUGAAAGCACUCCCAUGCUUCUGGAACAGAUUCAUCAUUUUGUUGCUGAAAACCUGUAAUCUUCCCACGGAGAGC